UAUAUAAGAUCAUAAUCAUCUCAGACGCAAUCAUCUGAAUCUAAAUUAUCACACGCAUCACCAUUUGCCACUCAGGAGACGGAAAGAAUGAGAUUUGCAUUGGUCUUUAUCGUUGUUCUGCUUGUGGUACUCUUGGCCGACCCGGGUUCGAGUAAAAAGAGAAAGUCCAGUAAAUCCAAAGGUUCUGGGAUAUCAGGUUCAAAAUCCAAGAGUCCAAGCAAGUACUCAAAAAAGAAAUACUCUUCAGGCAGUAAAUGGUCUAACAAUGGAAGAGUCAAGAAGAACCAAAGUAGGCAAAACUCAAAUCAUAAAGGUAAAAGAAACAAAAACAGGAAGAACAAAAGAAACUCAUUCACCAAUGCACUAAGGAGGAAUGCCAUCUCUUACGUAGAGGAAAGGCUCGCUCAACCACCUCCGUUCCAAAUGGAUGCCGGAGGAAAUGCGUACGAAGGGCCGGGCUCUGCUGAGUACGAACAAGGCGAUCCUGAGGGUUUUUUUUAGUUCUUCAUAGGGUAGCGGUUCUGUCACCUGCCCUGAUGGGAACACUUGAGGGGUAGGGAGUGCGGUGGCAUACCCCUAUCCAACCGGCUAGAUGCUUAUGUUUUAAUCCAAUAAAAUGAGGGUUUUGAUCUGAAACGUUUUUCCUUUGAUGUCUCAAUAAUAAUAAAUAACAAUUCUUUCUCGCUCCUGCACAUGUAUUUCAUUGUUUGUUGUAUUUGUAUUUUAAUGCUUUUAUUGAACUAUUUCAUUGUGCUCAAUUGGAAUUGUGCAGUAAAUUAACCAAAUUAAAUAAAGGAUGUUAACCCUUUUAAUGUGAAAGACAAGAAACUGGCGCUUUCCUUUUAUUUCGGCGCUCCAUCGACUCAAUGAGCUUUGGCGCCGCUUGCGAUCCUUUGGACAUGGCACCCGGGUGCUUGUUCUUUAUGUACUACAGCAUAUUGCUAGUAUUCCCUCAAAGUAGCCGGUGUGGUCAUUACACUUCAGGGUCCAAAUUGAGCCACAAAACAACAAGGGGGGACAGUGAACACAGCUUGCAUGGUGUGAGCUGAUUAGAGCAGAGGCUGAAACCACAAUCAGUCGGUACUGUAUGAUCAUGUACGGUAAUGCCACCCCUACAUUUAAUAUUGAGUCAUACCGCACACACAUUGCAAGACUGCAAAGUCAGAUGAGGGCCCGCCCGCCUCGAAAGAGACUAUAAAACAGAAGUGUCAGGGCCUCUCUUGACCUAACUCUACAUCGGCCCCCCCAUUGAAAUCAAGAAUGAGGUUUGCAGUGGUCUUUGUGGUUGUUUUGCUUGUGGUUCUCUUUGCUGACCAAGGAUUGAGUAAAAAAGCUAAAAAGAAUUCCAAAGGUUAUGGGAUUCUACCAGGUUCAAAAUCCAAGAGUCUAAGCAAGUUUAACUCAAAAAAAAAACAGUCUUCAGGCAGUAAAUGGAGUGCCAAGGGAAAAGUCAAGAAAAGCAAAAGUA